rnacentral:tRNA from 2 species
GCCCUCGUAGCUCAGUGGAUAGAGCAGUGGCUUCCGAAGCCAUGUGUCGGCGGUUCAAGUCCGUCCGAGGGCG